CUUGUCGAGGAGGCGGGCAGUGGUUCUGGGUGCAGGACACUCCACUCCUCUCUGGGCACACAGGUCAUCAAAGAAUUUACGUGUCUCUGAUGAGGAACAGGAAUCACUGACAUAGGUUACAGG